GUUUAUACUUGCAUACUAUUGUUUGUACAGAUGAACGUGGUACCUUCAGGAGUUUGGAAAUUGCUCCCAAUGAUGAACCAGACCUGUGGAGGUCUACCAUUUUUUUCUGAGGCUGAUUUCUUUUGAUUUUCCCAUGAUGUCAAGCAAAGAGGUACUGAGUUUGAAGGUAGGCCUUGAAAUACAUCCACAGGUACACCUCCAAUUGACUCAAAUGGUGUCAAUUAGACUAUCAGAAGCUUCUACAGCCAUAAAAUAAUUUUCUGGAAUUUUCCAAGCUGUUUAAAGUCACAGUCAACUUAUUGUAUGUAAAAUUCUGACCAACUGGAAUUGUGAUACAGUGAAUUAUAAGUGCAAUAAUCUGCUCAAAGUAGAUUGCCAAACUUUUAGUUUGUUAACAAGAAAUUUGUGGAGUGGUUGAAAAACAAGUUUUAAUGACUCCAACCUAAGUGUAUGUAAACUUCCGACUUCAAUUGUUGUGUGUGUGUGUAUAUAUAUAAAUAUAAUAUUAUUCUUAUUAUAUAUAUUUUUGGGCUAAAAAUGUGGGGCCAAAACAGGUGGGGCUCAGCCCCACCUGCCCUGAAUGACGGGUCGCCACUGUGUAUGUUAACAUGGAAGAACUGAGUCAUUUUCAGCUUCCAGGAGUUGUGUACAGAUCCUUGCGACAUGGGGCCUUGCAUUAUCAUGCUGAAGAAUCAGGUGAUGCUGGUGGAUGAAUGGCAUGAUAAUGGGACUCAGGAUGGGUCACAAGCGCUCAGGACCUCAGACUGGGGUGAAGGUUCACCAUCCUACAGGACAUCGACCCUAAGCACACAGCCAAGACGAUGCAGGAGUGGCUCCGGAACAAGUCUUUGAAAGUCCUUGAGUGGCCCAGCCAGAGCCAGGACUUGAACCCGAUCAAACAUCUCUGGAGAGACCUGAAAAGAGUGUGCAUAGCUGUCAUCAAGGCAAAAGGCGAGACCCAGAUGCAGACACAGGAGGCAGAGUUUAAGAUGUUUAAUAAACCAAAAAGGAGUUGGCAAAAGAAUGGUCGUGGACAGGCAAAAGGUCAAAACCAGUUCAGAUUCCAGGAGAUACAGAGUGGUAGUCAGGCUCGAGGUCAAGGCAGGCAGGUACAGAGUCCAGAACAAGCAACGGCUGUCACAACUUCUGCCGAAGUCGAUGCCCCUCCUUAUUCGAGUGGUGGUCGACGUCACCGGUCUUCUAGCCAUCACUGAUCCAUUUUUCAUUUUCCAUUGGUUUUGUCUUGUUUCCUUACACUUCUGGUUCCAAUCCUAUUCAUUACCUGUUGUGUAUUUCACCCUCUGUUUCCCCUCAUGUCCUUGUCUGAGAUUGUGUGUAUGUUAC
rnacentral:lncRNA from 1 species